UUCCCUCUUCCCUGUGGUGGCCCCACGUCCUAAGUUUUUUUUAAAAAAUUCAGAAAAAAAAAAAAAAAAACACCACAAAAAAAAAAAAACAAAAAACAAAAAAACCAACAAAAUCCUGACAAGUGAGAGAAAAAUAAAGUAAAAUAAAGCUGCCGAGCAGAAGUUGAUACAGCCUGGUCAGGGUCUGGAGUGAGGAGCCAUGUGCCCCUGCGCCACGCAUGCACACGCACGGCCUGGCAGGAAGACGGACUGAUGCGGAGACAGUCAGCAGCAUCCUCGGCUCCUCGGCUGGCUUCUCUCGUUUGCAUUUUUAAGCUUGUGGUUUUUUUCCUGUGUGUAAUAAAAACAAGAGCGGUCUGUGGGAGAGGACCGUCAGCCCACCUGCUGCCCCCAGUGCCACACCUGCUGGGAGGACAGCGCCAUCUGGAGCCUGCUGGGAGCAUCGCUGCUGGAUGGAGCUAGGGAGGAGCCUGCGGGAGGCCGUCCUGCCUGGACCUGCUCACCAGUCCAGAGAGGAAACGCCCAUGAGCCAAGAGCCCUCUUAACGCUGCUAAGUCCAGGGGUACAGAUGAGGGUGACAUCUUUGAAAAAAAAAAAGCUGGUUUGGGUUCUCAAAAACCCAAUUUUUUUUUUUUAAUUAACUGUAACGAACGUGUUCCGACUGGAGAUGUGGUCCUUCACACCUCUCUUCACAGCUGGGACAUUGGGCUGGCUCCCUGUUUUCUUUUUUUUUUUGUUGUUCGGUUUUUUCUUUUGUUUUUUUCUUCUCCAAACACAGCCUUCCUAAUGCUAGUCCCCGUGUGCUGGGUGAGUGUUGGCUGGGCCCAAGCAUCGUCACAGUAGACCUGGGAUCUAAAGUUACUCUGCUUUGAAGUUGCUUUUUCUUUUCCCCUUUAAUAUUUUGAAUGGAAUCUAGUUGCCUCCAAGAAUUGUGCCUUAUAGCAUUUGGGGACCAGGGGAUAACUUCCCCUUCCUGAGAUAUCUCCCUCAGCUGCUUCCCUUUAUCCCCGUGCCAUGUUGAAAGCCACUUGGGGUUGCGGGGUCCUGCCCUGAACCCCUGGCUUGUUGUGCACAGCAGUAAAAGAGGGAAGUGGGUAAAUGGUGAUUCUUAAGAUAGUGUAUCAAGCUCUUCCUACCACCCUCUCACCCACCCCGGUCUCCCCAGCUGUUUGAAGGACAGCACAGGCUCCUUGCCCCUCAACUCCCCCCUCCCUUUAAUUUAUUCUCUUUUUGAUGCCCUUAUCCCCCAAGCUUCCUGCCACCUGUCCCUUUCCCAGAGUCUCUUAGACAAAGGCCCUCUGGACUGAGCUUCUCAGGGACACCCACACCACCCCUUACCCCAUCUUGGCAUCAGUCUUUGGUCCUGUCCUGGGAGUGUGAGCCUGGAUGGCUGGGGUUAGCUUGUAUGAUUCUUUGCCCUGACGUUAGACAAAAAAAAAAAAAAAAAUACUCCAUGCUGUCCCAAGAGCCAAGCUAUUCAGCACUAAGGCAUUUCGCACAGUGCAUUUUGCACCCCCCACAGGUGGGCCUGGCUUAUGCCCUCAGAACCUCGAGUGCUUGAGUGUCCCAGGACAGGGCACCCAAGAAAAGACACCCUGAGUUUACCUGGCCUGAUACCCUUCUCUAGGGAAGACCUGUGAACAUGAGCCCAAGGGCUGGUGUACACUUGUUUACUAUGUAAGCAAGAGUAGAAUGUCUAGUGUACAGUGGAGCCUUGUACAGAAUAAAUAGUAGCUUUGAGAAGG
rnacentral:lncRNA from 1 species